rnacentral:rRNA from 1 species
GACAGUCUGACCUGCACGGUGACUAUAAUGUUAAACGGCCGCGGGACUCUAACCGUGCAAAGGUAGCAUAAUCAUUUGCCUUUUAAUUGGAGGCUGGUAUGAAUGGUUUGACGAGGGCUAUGCUGUCUCUUUUGGAAUAUUUAAAAAUUAACUUUUAGGUGAAGAGGCCUAAAUUUGUUUAAGGGACAAGAAGACCCUGUUGAGCUUUAGUAAAAUUAUAAGUGUAGCAUAACUUACGUAGAUUUCUAUGGUAGUUGUUAUGUAGUUAAUACAAUAAUAGACUUGUAAUUAAUCUUUAGUUGGGGCGACUGAGGAACAUGAAAAGCUUCCUUAUCUUAAAACAUUAAUGUGAUGUUGUGAGGCUUUAAAUGUCUAUAAAUUAUUUUGAUCCAAUUUGUUUUGAUUAAAAGAAAAAGUUACCACAGGGAUAACAGCGUAAUCUUUCUGGAGAGAUCUAAUCGAAAGAAGGGUUUGCGACCUCGAUGUUGGACUAAGAUAUCCUAAGGGUGCAGAAGCUCUUAAAGGUUGGUCUGUUCGACCAUUAAAAUCUU